GACAGAGGGUGCAAACGUUGCUCGGAAUUACUGGGCGUAAAGCGCGUGUAGGCGGGCUAGUAAGUCGGACGUGAAAUCCCUGGGCUCAACCCAGGAACUGCAUCCGAAACUAUUAGUCUUGAGUGGUGGAGAGGGAAGCAGAAUUCCUGGUGUAGAGGUGAAAUUCGUAGAUAUCAGGAGGAACACCGGUGGCGAAGGCGGCUUCCUGGACACUAACUGACGCUGAGACGCGAAAGCGUGGGGAGCAAACAGG
rnacentral:rRNA from 1 species